GUCUUAAGUAUCAUAAUACUCUUUUGAUGCUUGGACCAUGUGUCCACGAAUUACUCGUUUCUUAUACGAGAUUAAUAUAGACUUGGCUGCCUCUUUGUUUAUUGGCCAAUAUAUAUCUCUUUACGCUCACAGAGCGGAGAUUCAUGACCCUCAUUAAUUACAUUUGCGCGCUAAAUCAUUUUUCUUGUUGACAUUAUGUUUUCUUU
rnacentral:lncRNA from 1 species